CCUACGGGAGGCAGCAGUGAGGAAUAUUGGUCAAUGGGCGAGAGCCUGAACCAGCCAAGCCGCGUGAAGGAUGAAGGAUCUAUGGUUUGUAAACUUCUUUUAUAUGGGAAUAAAGUGAGGAACGUGUUCCUUUUUGUAUGUACCAUAUGAAUAAGCAUCGGCUAACUAAGUGCCAGUAGCCGCGGUAAUACGGAGGAUGCGAGCGUUAUCCGGAUUUAUUGGGUUUAAAGGGUGCGUAGGUGGUUAAUUAAGUCAGCGGUGAAAGGUUGUGGCUCAACCAUAAAAUUGCCGUUGAAACUGGUUGACUUGAGUAUAUGUGAGGUAGGCGGAAUGCGUGGUGUAGCGGUGAAAUGCAUAGAUAUCACGCAGAACUCCGAUUGCGAAGGCAGCUUACUAAACUAUAACUGACACUGAAGCACGAAAGCGUGGGGAUCAAACAGGAUUAGAUACCCUUGUAGUC
rnacentral:rRNA from 1 species